GGGCCUAUAACUCAGUGGUUAGAGUGUGCAUCUGAUAAGUGCAAAGUCAGUAGUUCAAAUCUACUUAGGCCUA
rnacentral:tRNA from 1 species